UUCGGCGAUCUGUCGAGCCGUUAUAAAGAUAGUGAAGAAACAAGCGAUUUAGCUUCGUUUCCGCCUGGAGGGCCGAGGCGACGUCGUAAAAUCGUGGAAAUGGAUUUGGAGCACCGUGGCACAUAACCGAAGACCUAUAAUUUUCGGGGCUGCGAAGCGGAGCACGGUUGAGGAGCAGUUGCAAUAUCGGGCCGUGUCGGAUACGGGUGCCGUGGGAGGCCGAUUGCAAGUGUCGACAAGCAAUCGGAACGCGAGUUAAGGUGGGUUGUGUUUACCGAAGCGACUAGGUCGCCUUUAUGUCUAAGAAAGUUAAGAAUUCAUGUUGAUGCAUAUAAAUGUAAAUGAGGCAUGUAAAUGAUGCAUGUAGCUAAUGCUAAUUAGUGCAUAUUGGUAAUAUGAUGCAAAUGCUAAGUAAAUGCAUAUAAAAGAUAUAGAGAUCAUAGAAUGCAUAAUGAGCAAGUACAUAAUACUAGAUAAUUGCAUAGAUGCAUGAUUAGUAUUGUGAGAUUAUGUAUGCAUGUGAACUAGAUGACAUAUGCAUUUAAAAAUGAAUGUUAGAUGAAGUGCGUACUGAUAUAAGAUAUCAUGCUAGAUUCACAAGAUAUGAACUUGGUUGAUAACUCUAAAUUGAGUAGAGCACUCGACAAUGGGAAAUGGUAAUGUAGAAUGCUUAAUUGAACAAUUAGCAAUGUGAACUAGAUCGAGUGGCAUCUAACCUAGUGUUAAAGAACAUAGGUUGUGAAUGAAUCUAGUCAUAUGAACUAGAUCGAGUGGCAUCUAACCUAGUGUUAGUAAACAUAGGUUGAAUAGGAAUGAUAUCGAACCUAGUAUUAACAAACAUAGGUCGGACAUAGUGAUAUUGAACCUAGUGUCAGUGAACAUAGGUUGAACUAGUAAACCUAGAGUUUUGUAAACUAGGUUGUGAUAUAGUAAACCUAGAGUGGCGUUGAACCUAGGUUGUUGAGUAUAGUGGUAGCAACCACUAGGAUGCUUUAGGUCGACAGCAUAGGGUUGGUUAUGGACCCUCGACCUGUGGAAGUGGAUUCCGGAAUCCCAGGACCUGUGAUGACUUUGGUAUCAAGGCUAGGGCGUGUGCGACGACUUCGCCGCCGAGGUUGAUACCAAGGAUGGAUUGGGGGUAAAUGUGCAGAGAUCACCGCCCGGGGCUUGAACCAUUGUCGUGGCGUAUGCGACGAUUUCGCCGCCGGAUGGUUAAGCCAGUUUGUGGAUUAUGCCGCCAGAUCGACUCUAGCCAUUGUUGGGUGAGGUGCGAUUCGUUCGCCACCAGAUGGCCAAGUCAAGGGACUUGAACCAGUGUUCGGCGUGUGCGACGACUUCGCCGCCAGCUGGUUAAGUCUUAGAGGGCGGCCAGUGCGCGGACUAUUCGCGGAUGAUUGACUCGAGGCCGAGUCGGGUGGUUAGCUUGAUUAGGUUAAUAGAAACCUUGAAAGCUAGUGAUAAAGGUAAGAGCUAAGGUAAUAGAGACCUUAGAAGCAAGUUGAACUUGAGUUGUGGUGAACUAAGGUAGUAGAAACCUUAGAGUCAAAUAACAUAAGCUAAGAUUAGCAGAGUUAAAUGUAGAAUCAAUAGAUCUACUGAAUGGUUGCUUAAUUGCAUAGAACUGCAUAAUAUUCAUAUUGCAUAUUGUGAGGCAUGUUAUCUGUUAGUUGCAUAGUAAAACUAUGAUAUAUAUCUAUAGAUAUUUUUGGACUAACAUGAUUGCAGUGCCUCCUUAGACCUUUUGGUCGAGCUUUUUCCUUGGGUGGUCGUACUCACUAGGAACCAUGGAGUUGGUUCUCACCCCACGUUGUUUUGGGGUGUUACAGGUUCGCACGUGAGCGGCGCGGCGGCGCGAGGAAAUGGCGUAGCUCCAUAGAUAUCCCCCUACCUAGAGACCAGAACUAGCAGUACCCCAUCGACAUAGCUUAGGGGUAUGGGGAAUGAAAAGAAUACAAUGUAUCAAAUUGUAAUAAGUAAACGAUGUAAUAACUUAGAUUGUAUUUGGAGGAAUCAAAUGAGGAACUGUGAUGUAAAAAUGUAUGAAUGUGAAUGCAUGUAAUAACAUAGGAUGUGUUAUGUUGUUGAUACCUUCCUUAUGCAAUCUGUUUGUUGAGUACUGUUCUUUGUUGGAACCUUUGUAUUGUAUUGAUUGCGAUGCCUUGAAUGUGCAGGGGAAACUCUGUCCAUAGUACAGGGGAAACCCUGUCCAUUCGGCGCUGUUGGCGCCGCGACCUCGGCCAAAUAGGCGGGUGGUCGCGGGUCGUGACACCUGCACCCUAGAAGUACCUUCAUGAGUAACUUCUAAUUUAUCCCAAAUCUCUUUAGCCGUUGUGCAUGUAGAGAUUCGGUGAAACUCUUCUCUACUAAGAGCGCAAAGGAAUGAAUUGAUAGCUUUAGCAUUCAAUUGAAAGCGAAAUUUUUCGGCUUCAUCCCAUUCCGCUCUUGAUUUUGAUGGAGCGAUAUAACCACUUUCGAUUAUAUCCCAAAUAUCAAAAUCUAGAGAUUGAAAGAAUAUCUUCAUUCUAAUCUUCCAAAAAGGAUAAUCAGUUCCAUCAAAAAAUGGUGGCCGAACAAUAGAUUGUCCUUCGAUAUUCUUUCCCGUGGAUGCCAUUCUCACUUAGAUUUUAAUCUAAAUAAUGUGAGACCUCGCUCUGAUACCAAUUGAGGAUCAAAAUGGCAACCUAAGAGGGGGGGUGAAUUAGGUUUCAAAAUAAAAAUCCAAAUAAUUAAGCAAAUUAAAAAUCCGAUGCAAAUAAAAAUGAGGAGUUUAAAGAAAUGCAAACUCGAAAACCACACGAUCGAUUUGUUUCGAGGUUCGGCACUUUGCCUACGUCCUCGCCAACCUCUCAACACUAGAGAAUGUUGGAUCUCCACUAGAUGAUGCUUUUGCGGGCAAGCACCAAGCCUUCACACCAACUCUUUCUUUUCAAGCUUCAAGACUUUGAUUUUCUCUCUUUUUACAAGAUUAAAUCUCACUACAAAUUUCACUCAAGUAUAGAGAGAGAAUUGAGAGCUAAGAGUAUUAGAGACACUGAAUUUUUAAGCUCAAAAUGAACUAUCUAGUUGCUGCUUAGAAAGGCCUCAAUACCAUCUAUUUAUAGCCUCGAGCAGCUUUUGUCCGUUGUACUUUCGGGCGCCCUAAACCUGUUUCCGAGAGCCCAGAAGUUGUGCACGCAAGCUGCCUGUCAGACCACGUGCGCCGCUUUUCUUGACUUUGUAUGUUCGGGCCGUCAAAAGUUGUGGGCGCCCAGAACACGAGGAACAACUUUUCUGACACGCGCCGCUUCCUCUGGAUUUGGGCCAUCAGAAAUUGUGGGCGCUCAGAUCUCGAGGGACAACUUUUUCUGACAGCCGGAUUUUCCUAGAUUCGGGAUCAUUUUGGGCUUCCAGAACAUGUGGGUGCCCAGAUUUUCAACGCGCGCGCUGCCUGCGUCAGAACUUUUUGGGCUGAUAUGCAACCUGUCAAGUCAAACACUUUCGGUCGCCCUAAACUGAAAUUGGGGCGACCAGAUCCGGUAAAGAAGUUUCUGAACCACCCGAACAGCAAACAGGCAUGAUCCAAAAAAUCUCAUGAGAUUCGGAUCCACUUUAGGGCACCCGGAACAGGGUCCAGAAAUCGCAACUUGACAGAACACAGAAUUUGAGCAGUUUUUGAAUAUUUAAAAAUCCUAUGCACCUAAUUAGAAGUUAGAAAAUGUUUAAGUGAUCUAUAAGGUGAUAAGAUGAAUAGUUUUAAACUUAGCUCAAAAUUUCUCACUCUAAUAGAGCAUCAAAUAAAGAAUAGAGAGAGUGAGUUUGUCUUUUUGACAAAGAAAGCAGAAAUAGCUUCAAGUGGUGAGGCUCGGUGCUAGAAGAUUGCCCAUCUUGAGUCCUUUUUGAAGAUAUAAAGAUCUAAAACACAAAAACUCAAGAUAAAGAAUUAGUCCAAUAAUCGUAAUUAUUUGUUAUCAUCAAAAUCUAAAAGAUUAGGGCCACUAGGCCAACAGUAGGAGUGUUUAGCUGUAUUUUGGUUGUUUUGUUAGUUUGUGCUAAUUUUGUGGACCAAGUAAGCUGUUCGUUAGUGGGCAAAGUGUGAAGCUCCAGUCUCGAGUUUGUAAUUUUUUUUAAGCAAUUUCAGUUUCUAAAAAAAGGAGAGAAGGUUCCCUUCCAAAAAAAAUAGCUUUUGCUUUCUAUUCUCCUUUUUUCUUUGAGAAUCAACAGAAUUAAAACAUACUAAACUAGAAAAAAUAGUAUAAGCAUGAUUAAUUUUAUCUUUGCAUCUUUAAUUCGGAGAUAGUAGUGGUUAAACUCAAAGCUGUACAUAACUUACAAAAAUUCAAUUUAAAUUGAAUAGCACUCAUUGGAGCAGACUCUUCUCUUCUAAUGUGCUUAAUCCCACAUUCUUAUUUUAUUCUUUGGAGAAAGCUCCUCUAGGGAGGAACAAAUCAAUCAAGACAUAGAGGAAUCACUCUAUUUGGUUAUCUCUAAUUGAUAAGUCUAUAGAUUAUUUUGAAAGACACAAUAAAAGUAUUGCUACUGCCACUACUAUCAUGUCCAGAGCUACAGCGUAAACCUUUUCCGGAAUACGCACAGACACGCUGUGACGCACUGGACCUUGCGAAUUGUGGGGUCCGAGUGAUUAUUUGUGUUUUGAACUUUUCCAGACUUUCUGGUGGGUCGUGGAUAGUGCUCCGACCUAUGGUUCGAGUCCCGAGAAUUGUGGUUUAAAGCGGUGUACCAAAAUCCAAAAAGUCGGAUUUUUGGUCAGCUCUCGGGUAGCCUUCAGCGGGCUGCGUACCGGUACGGGCUCGCUUGCUGUACCGGUACGGGCUCGCUUGCUGUACCGGUACGGGCUCGCUUGCUGUACAGGUACGUGGUGGUGUACCGGUACACAGACCAUUUCCGAGCAAACCCGAGGCUCGGGUUUGACUUUUCGUGGGUGGUGUACCGGUAUACAAACCCGUGUACCGGUACACAGUGCAGAGUGGGCUGUUUUCGUGGAGGGGUGUUUUUGCAAUUGUUGCAACCCUUUAUAAACAACCAACCCCGAUGCCUUGAGAGCUCUUUGACCCUACACCAGUGUAGAAAAGAUGAGAACCUCCUCCCUCUAAUGUUUCCUUCUCCUUUCUUGUGUUUGCGAGUUUUUAUCUCUUCGCGUGCCCUUCUGCUUUUGUGGUUCACACAUUGGACUGAAUCUGUGAUACUUGGUGAGCUGUGGUUUGGACAACCUGCAACCGCUAAGAGGACUCUAGCUGGUUGAAGCUUCUAAGAUUUGUAGCUAUUCCCUCUAACGAUUUUUGGAUAUCACUAGAUCAACACUAAUUUUGAUUUAGGGUAAUUGGGGAUUUUCGUUUUGAGGCUGACCAAAUUAUGUGUAGAACCUUUGUUUAGGUUAAUGGAAAGCUCUACUCCCAUUCUGAGAUGUGAGAACUCCCUUCGCAAUCGUGAUCUCGUCUACCCUUAUGCCCUAUACGCUUAAAGAAUGAACAUAGGUCAUCGUCGACUAAGAUGACACUUGGUUUCUAUCCCUGCGUACUAGGACCUGAGGACAACCCUCAACGUUGAGCCACGAGGAUUCUCCGUUCAUCGUGGGUUGCUUCGUGGAAGGCACAAUGGCCCAUAUCUCUUUCUACUUCGUAAAUUUAUUAUUAAGUUCAUUUCUAGAAUGGAAAUUUAUAUGAAUUUAGAGCACUUAAAACUGCAUCCUUGUAAUUAUAAAAUUUCACUUAAGUAGACUAUAUAUUAAAUGCAUGGCAUAGUGAAAAGUGUUUAAUAUGCAAUGAAAAAUACAUCCAUAGAUAGACUUGAUUAUGUCCUUAAAUAAUACUGCCCAUGUUUUACCAUAAGAACAAGAAUGUCUAAAGGGCACUGCAAACAGUAAAAUAUAAAAUGCAACCUAGAGACAUAGAAUAGGCCAUUUGUAACAUCUGCUAUAUCAAUUGCCAUGUUAAACGACUGAUGACUAGGAUAGCCUUGAGACUUCAUAAUAUUCCAUGUUAAUUAAACAUUAGCACUUGUCUAUCAAGAUCGUUUGACUACUUGCCACUUGUUCUAUCGCACAAGCUUGUGAGGUCGCUCCUACAAGCCGACGUCCGGAGAGGCAUCGCCGAUACAUAAUUCGCCGUCGGAUGCGACGAAGGGAUGCCGUGGCAGCUCAUUCCAGUGGCGGAUUAUGACUACCCACGGGGCCAUUACGCGCACCGCGGCCAAUAGCAUCGGGUGGGCCAGGCCAAGACACCUUUCGCCGGUGUUCUAUAUUCGACCUGAGAGUCGUAAUGACAUGUGACAGUGACUGACUAGAGUAAUGACAUUGAUAGAAUACGUAAACAAGAACUUUACUAAUCGCAUGUGAACAUUAUGAAGUUAGACUUUUACAUUCAUCAUAUUCUCCAUACUUAUGCUAUUUAUGCUAAAUAGAGAUAUCAUUUGUAGUAAGCUACAAUUUACUUACCUUCUGUUCUACAUUAUAGUCCACUAACCACGCCCCCCCCCCUCCUUGUACUUCCCUUGGUGGCACUUCACUGAAUCAUAAUUGCCCACGGAACUAUUCUAAUAUCUCACCCCCUGUUCUAUUUCUUUCAGAGCCUUCUGCACUACGGGCGAGGCACCGACGCUGCAAAUGGAUCGCUAGCCUAGCUAUGAGGCUACGGUAACCUUGGCCUAGUGGUUAUACUCCUUUCUAUUGUGAGUAGAAGAGUGAGAGAUUUCUGAUCCAUGUAUAGAGACCACCGAUUACCUACUUUUAGCACUUGCUUCUUGGAUUUCCUAUUAUUCUACUUAUUCUUAUUAUGUUCACGUUUACACCUUAUCCUUAGCUGUAGCAUUAACAUUAUAUCUCUGAUCACUCUAAUUCUGAUUAGCGUUUAUAUUGUUUUUUAGAACCCUUAUCGUUAGACUAUGCGCUCUCGCAGUCGCGCGGGGCUUCGCUGGGUCUGGCUACAAUUACAUUGCUAUCCAGACUAGGGUUGAUCUUAGGACAUAAUGAGCAAAACCUUAGGCGUUGGACAUAUAGAAAUAGCUCGUAGAGACGAGCAUCUGACUUGGAGCGAAAGUACAUGAUUGGCUGUUAUAUAAUCUAUAAAAUUUAAGUUGAUUGAGUCAAUGCCUCUAACUUCGCGAAGGUUACGUUGCGCGACAACGAACACGGAUUAGUAGAAGCAACACUUCUUACUUUCGCCAUGAUUGGGUUGCUAUUUGAAGGCGCCGACGAUAGCGUGGUUCACUGACUACGCCUUAUGACGUUGAUGACGAUCCAGAUUACUCGCUCAAUCCUGCCGGGUGAGCAAUGGCAACUUUGAGGAGUCGAGACCUCCCCGCUACCUCCGAUACAAGCGAGUCCGUGAGUAGGCACUUCGCCCUUCACUAUUGGUUACCAGCAGCGGAGGCGCCCGAAGCAGACAGGCGCGCGCCGACAGAUGCGGGAUGAAACCAUGGAGACCUACUAUGCACACGCACUUCCAGGAGACGCAGGGCCCCACACCCGCCAGCACCAUUGUGGACAUGGCAUGGAGAGCUGCCGUCCCCCGUCCCGUUCUCGCCGUCGGCGCCUCGCGGCCUUGACCCCAGAGGAGGUUGGCGGCGCAUGUGCAGAGGCCCCCGGUUAAGCACUUUCCAUACCUUGUGAGGGCGGAGAAGGAAUGACGCAUGAGCGCCUCAAUGAGUUCAGGAGUGCAGCCCCCGAACGUCUCUCGACGCAAAGCCGGUGACCCACGAUCCGUGGAGAAGUGUUGAUGCAUUUGAGAAGCCUUCACACACCUCGUGGAGGAGAGACAGAGUUGUCCGCUCACCACCACUGGAGACGGCCGCCUACCGCGUGGACUUUCAGAGCACCCGCAGCAACUGACUUGGCCAAUCUAUCAUUGGAAAGUUCCAAACUUCUUUGGACUCAUAUCCUGGCCAUCGUCAAGCGGAAGCAUAGGACAGGAUCUGCCAACUGCGCAUGGCACAGACUGUACCGAUACGAGAGGGAAUUUCUCCGACUUCUGCAUUGGCGGCCCUGUGGCGGACGACGAGGACAAGCCCUCAUCUUCGACAGAGGGUUGCGACCGUCGAUUCCGGGUUUGUCAAUCCCUAACCUGGUCCCAAACCUUACCGGAGGGUGGACGCGCGCAAUAUCAUUACCGUGAGAACGGCGCACGAAGGUCCAGAGCAUGCGUGAGCUAGAACAGAAGGCCUCAAGAGCCUGCGGCUGAGGUGCCAGCCAACUCACUCUAGAGGCCGCCAAGCAUCCGAGAGCCAUCAGCGUACGUCGCGAGCACACAUCGAGGAGGAUCCCGAUCGGCCCGGCCUUACCCGUGUGUGAUCUGCGUCGUCCCCAAUUAUCCACCCGAGUGUCACAGGACGGGCGGCAAUGCUUCCAUUCCAGGAGGGCAACGUCCUACCGGACUUGCACCGAGAGGCUCUUCACCGCACCGUCGCACGCAUCGGCACCGCUCUAAUCAUGUCGCGUCAGCCAGACCCGUCGACACACGUGUACGACCGCGGCGCCACACCGUCACGCCUGAGUGAGUAUCGCGACCGGCCUCCAGUGGCGCGCAGACUGGCCGCCAGACCGAGAAGCGCAGCACCGAGGCAUUGCCAGGUAUCAUAUUACUUGAUGCAUUAGAGUCGUGCUUAUUUGAUACUGGUGCACACACUCAUCAUAGAUCGCCUGUUGCCGAUGCAUGCAUACCUUUAGUUCCUUGUUGCCAUACGGACAUUAGUUGUACCGAGCCAGUUGGACAUUAAAGAGUAGAGCCCCAGGGUUGCCACAUUGGAUGCAGAUUAUUAGCCGAUAGAUUGUAUCUUUCGCAAGACUUGGUGAAUUGAUGUUGUUUGGCAGGAUUUGACCAAGUAUAUGCACUGAUUGAAUGCAAAAUCGCAUCUACUCUUAGAAAAAGAACCUGGCACCACCGAGGGGUAUUUUGUGGAUCCAAGUUCGCCGUGUUUCGAUACGAUCAGCCUGCCGGGAGCAGGCAUGAUUAUUAACAGGUUGUGUAGCCUAUUUGCUAGUGUGUGGCUGAGGCGAAAUAACACCCUAGAUUGAUGAAUAAUCCGGUUGUGCGCGGAGUUCCAGGACGGUUUCCAAGCUGAGGCUACCGUAUCCUCCUUAUAGGAAUUGAUUCUAUUGGAGAUCUCGUCCCUGGACUACCCCAAUCUCAAAGGCACACUAUAGGAUGGCACCCGGAGGCAAGACUAAGGACUGAGGCAAGCUGCAAAGGAUUUGUUGAACAAAGGCAUCAUUCACCGGCGUUCACACUGGAACACCCGUGUUACGUCAAGAAUAAAGACGGAUACUUCGCCCUUUGUGUGGAUAUCGUGAAACUGUAAUAAAGGUCACGAUCAAGAACAAUAUCGUUGCACGAUGACACGCCUGUUUAUAAAUUUCAGGAUCAUGUGAUACCAAGAUCGAUCCUUACAUCGAACCCACCGAGUCUAAAGAUUAAGCCUGAGAUUAUCGAAGACGCUUUAACACGAUGGAACAUUAUGAAUUUCACAGAUAUGACGUUCGCUUACAAUGCCGCCCGCAAGCUUUAGGAUCCUAAUGAACCGGUUUCUAAGCCUUAUCUAACAGUUCGUCCGUGGUUUCAUCCGACGACUUUGAUUUACUCUGAAAUGAUCAGAUCACGAGAGCAUUGAAAAUUGUAAUCUCCAAGUACUUCGGAAAGAGCUUUACCAAGUUUGAAAACUGUGAGUUUGGCUUCGAGAGUAGCUGUCCUCGACACUUGAUUUUCGUGAUUCGGUAUAUGCCUUGACUCCAAAAGAAACAUCCAAGAUUGCCGAGACUGACGACGUAACCGAGAUACGACCUUCCCCGGAUUGCCGGUGACUACGGAAUACUCUUGAGGAUUUGCAAGGUUAUCUCCUCCGCUCACGAGCUCACGGCAUAAAGGAUUCAAGUUCAUUUGGAAUGACGCGUGCGACGAAGCUUCCAAAGGUAAGCAGAAUUGACGACCGCCCGCAUCUUGACCACCAGUAGCUGGUGCGGGGUAGUUGGUUUUAUAUGAUCCCUAAUGGAUGGCUUGUAUUAUGCAGGAGGAACGUGAACGCGUAUGCUUCUCACAACAAAGGAAAUAAGAAGAACUACCCGACCGCAUGAUUGAAUGGCGCUCGUAGCUGUCCAUUGAAACAAUGGCGCCACUAUCUUAUGGCCGAGCGAUGUGAAGAUUACACGGACAACAAGAGCUUAAAGUACCUAUUACUCAUAAAGAAGUUGAACUUGAAGGCAGCGCAGAUGUUGAGCUACUCAAAGAUAGAUCUGACGAUCCUUUACCACCCAGCAAGGCUAACGUUGGCGGAUAGCGCUAAGGUAGGAAAUCGAUGGAAAACUUAGCGAUGCAGGUGACCAACCGCAUGAUCGAGCAAGUAAGCGGUUUGAAUGAGAGUUACUCUGACACACAUCCCUUGAAUUGAUGACCUUAGUAGUGCAAACCUACCUUUUGCUGAUAGAAUAAAGAUAAGCAAACUUCCGAUGAGGCAGUUGCCAAAAGAUCGAGUAAAAUGGUUGAGGUUCAUAACACGCGUAAUUCCUUGGACAACGUAGGUUAAUGCGCUUCGAGGACACUAUGUUUUCCCGGACUCGGGAAUUAAAAAGACAUUCUCAAGAACGCGCACCGGCGCCCUAUGCAUCAUUCCGGAGCAACAAGAGUAUCAUAGGACUAAAUUCUCUAUUGGUGGCCCGGGAUGAAAAAGGACGUUGGCGAGUUCGUAGCUCGUUGUCUAACUUGCCAACAAGUAAAGGCUGAGCACCGAGUUCCCGCGGGGAAACUUCAGAGUUUGCCUAUUCCAGUAUGGAAGUGGGAGAAGAUCGCCAUGGAUUUUGUGACAGGUUUGCCACGCUCUCAGGCCGGGCAUGACGCUAUUUGGGUGAUCGUGGAUAGGUUGACGAAGUCAGCGCACUUCAUACCUAUUCAUACUACUUGGAUUAGAGAGAAGCUCGCACAAGUGUAUCUUGAUGAGAUUGUGCGGCUUCAUAGAGUGCCUACAUCGAUUGUAUCUGAUCGCGACACACGCUUUGUGUCCCACUUUUGGAGGAGUCUACAGGAUGCCUUAGGCACCCGAUUGGAUUUCAGUACGGCAUUCCACCGGCAGAGUGAUGGACAGUCGGAGCGCACUAUUCAGACUUUAGAGGAUAUGCUCCGGGCUUGUGUGAUAGAUUUCCAGGGAGGAUGGUCGCAGCAUCUACCUAUGGCGGAGUUUGCUUAUAACAACAGUUAUCAAGCAAGCAUCAAGAUGGCGCCCUUCGAAGCACUUUACGGACGGAAGUGUAGAUCGCCACUUCAUUGGAGUGAAGUCGGCGAGAGACUGGCUUUAGGCCCUGAUGUGCUCCAGGAAGCUGAGGACAAGGUUCGAAUUGCUCGGGAGCGACUUUUGACGGCGCAGAGUAGACAGAGGAGCUACGCCGAUCGUCGACGGCGAGACUUGGAGUUCUAAGUUGGAGACCAUGUUUUCUUGAAGGUCUUGCCGACUAGAGGAAUCAAGAGAUUUGGGAUUCGAGGAAAGUUGAGUCCCCGUUUCAUUGGACCAUAUGAGAUCUUGGAGCGUGUAGGUCCGGUAGCGUAUCGACUUGCUCUACCACCGAACCUAUACGGCGUGCACAACGUCUUUCAUGUAUCGGUGCUUCGGAAGUACAUUCAUGAUCCAGCUCAUGUUUUGGGAACUAUACCAGUGGAGCUGCGCAAGGAUUUGAGCUUCGAGGAGCAACCCGUGAAGAUUUUGGCUCGCGAGGUGAAGAAGCUGCGGAAUCGGGAUAUUCCGUAUGUAAAGGUCCUUUGGAGCAACCACGAAGAGCGGGAGGCCACGUGGGAGCUAGAGAGUGCGCUGCAGGAGCGCUAUCCCCAUCUUUUUCAGAUGGAGCCUUGAGGUAUGCUUUUGCUUUUGAGUUUCGCGGACGAAACGCCUUUUUAGGAGGGGUGAAUGUGACGCACUGGACCUUGCGAAUUGUGGGGUCCGAGUGAUUAUUUGUGUUCUGAACUUUUCCAGACUUUCUGGUGGGUCGUGGACAGUGCUCCGACCUAUGGUUCGAGUCCCGAGAAUUGUGGUUUAAAGCGGUGUACCAAAAUCCAAAAAGUCGGAUUUUUGGUCAGCUCUCGGGUAGCCUUCAGCGGGCUGCGUACCGGUACGGGCUCGCUUGCUGUACCGGUACGUGGUUGAUGGCUGUACCGGUACGUGGUGGUGUACCGGUACACAGACCAUUUCCCAGCAAAUCCGAGGUUCGGGUUUGGCUUUUCGUGUGUGGUGUACCGGUACACAAACCCGUGUACCGGUACACAGUGCAGAGUGGGCUGUUUUCGUGGAGGGGUGUUUUUGCAAUUGUUGCAACCCCUUUAUAAACAACCCCAACCCCUUUGAGAGCUCUUUUGAGCCCUAGACCAGUGGAGAAAAGGUGAGAACUCCUCCCCUAUGGUUUCUUCUCCAUUUUUGUUGGGUUUUUUGCUAGUUUUAUCUCUUGUCUUCUUCUCCUUCUUUGCUUUUUGUGAUUUUUCAACGCAUUGGAGAAGUGUGAACUGGUUGGAGCUUUUUGGGGAGUCAACCUCAACCCUAGGAGACUUUGAGCUUGGGUUGAGCUUCUAAGAGGUUUGUAUAUUUCUCUCCUCUAGAUUCGGAUUUUGUGAGUAUCACUAGAUCAAACCUAAGAUUUCUGGAUUUUAGGGUAAUUGGGAAUUUUCAUUUUGAGGGCUUUUUGUACCAAAUUGAUGGUUUAGAACCUUUGUUUAGCGUUAGAAUUGGAAGGACUUAGCUCCUCAUUUGCGAGAUUGUGAGAACUUACCUCUUCGCAAUCGUGAGUUUUUCGUCUACCUAGCCUAUAUCUUAAGAUUAACUUAGUCGUCUUCGUCUAUCGACUAGAUGACACUUGUUUCUAUACCUCUAGGGUACUAGGGACUAGAGGACACCUCGUUGGAGCGGCCACGAGGAGUCUCGUUGUCAUCGGUGGUGUUGGCUUGUGGAAUAUGGGCGAAAUGCGCCCGGCUUGCUCUUUCUACUUGUUCCGGUAAAUUAUUUUUAGAGUUCUUUCUAUCUACAUGGAAUUUAUAUGAAUUUUAGAGCCACUUACAAUGCAUUGCCUUGUGUAUUAUAAAAAUUUCACUAUAUAGUAGAGCUAUAGAGUAGAAUGCAUGCAUAUGAACAAAGUGUUUAUUUGGCAAGUGGAAAAUACAUCUCUUAUGAGGAUUAUGACUUGGAAUAUGCUGCGCUUGGACAUAGUUGCCAUGUUUUGCGACAUAGAAAACAAGAGUGUCAUAAAGGGUGCCUCGAAACUACAGUAAAGAUAUAAAUGCAACCUAGAGACAUGAUGAUUAGACCAUUGUAUAUCUGCUAUAUACAUUCCAUUUGAGACAUGAUGACAUAGCGAUAGGCCUUUGAGACUUCGCAUUAUAUUUCCAUGUUAUUAGACAUGCAGACUUGUACUUGCGACAGAUCAGUUUGACUAACUGCAGCUGUGCUCAUUCGCCAUGCUUGGUGAGCGGUCCUCCCACAAGCCGCACAUCCGGAGAUGGCCAUCGCGAUACAUAUUCGCCGUGCGGAUUGGGCGCCGAAGUGGAUUGCCGUGGCCAGGCUCAUUCUAGGGUCGGAUGUUUGACUACCACGGGGCCAUUAGGCUGCGGCACGGCCAGAUCGCCUUCGAGUGGGUCUCAGGGCCAUAGACACGGCCUUCGGUGGUCUCUUCAGAUUCGACUUGAGUAUUCUGUAUAUGACAUGUGGACAGUCGAUGACUUAGAGUAUUAUUUGGACAUUGAUUUAGAAUAGUAAACAACGGAACUUUAGUAUUUCGCUGCAUUGUGAACAUUAUGAUAGUUGGAAGACUUUUACUUCAUGCAUAGUUGCUUCAUACUUAUGCUAUUUAUGCUAAGUAGAGAUAUCAUGUUGUAGUAAGCUACAUUUUACUUACCUUUCGCUUUUCUACAUUAUAGUCACUAACCUCUUUUGUAGCUUUGGGCCUUGUGGUGCAUUUACUGAAGUCAGUAAUUGCCCAUUGGGAACUAUUCUUAAUAGUUCUCACGCCCCUAUUUCUAUGUUUCUUUUUCAGAGCCUUCUGCACCGGCGGAGGCACGGGAUCGCGGCAAAGGGAUCGCUUAGCUAGCUAGUGAGGAGCGGUACUCUGCCUAGGUGGUUUACUCUUUCUUUUUGUGAGUUGAGAGAGAGUGAGAGAUUUCUGUAUCCAUGUAUAGAGACCACCUAUGUACCUACUUUUAGCACUUGCUUUUGGGAUUUCCUAUUGUAUUUACUUUAUGUCUUAUUUAGUGGAUUUACGUUUUAACCUUAUCCUUUGCUGUAGCAUUUAGACAUUUAUUAUGCUCUGAUACUCCUAGAUGUCUUUUAUUAUUGCUUUUAUUAUUGUUGUUUUUAGACGCCUUAUACGUUUUAGACGUAUGGCGGGUCUGGGCACGCGCCGAGCGGGCUUCCGCUGGGUCCCGGGGCGUGACACACGCCAUGUUUACAAGAACACUCUCAUACACAUGAAACGUCAACAAUCAAUCAAUAUAAUCAACCUUUAUAUAACAUUGCAUUAAAAAAAAAAUUGCGAGUUGAUGGGUAUCAAAACAAGUAAAGCAUAACUACUCUUAGAUUUACAACAACUUUCCAUGCAUACCCAAAAGGUUUUAGUAUAUGGAUUACAUAACUUUCUUUUCAACAUCUUAUCCAAGUCUAUCUCCAAAAUGGACUUGCAUAAUAUUUUUCAUGAGUUCUAGUUUCUAAGCAUAUAUUAUAUCAUCAUCUUUUCUCUCUAAGUAUACCACAUAAAUACACACAUAGGGUACAACCUCUAUAGCUAUCCAAAAGGGUGAGAAUGCUCUUGAUAUCACACGACACUUUUUCAUGAUCCUGAGCUUCUCCCACAGAAGACGGCUCUGAAAAUAAAUACACUAAAUACAAGAAUGCAAGAACUACAAGAAACAGUUCCCAAUAGAUAUCGUUGUUGAAAAGGGUGCUCUAUACUACUAAGUCAAUUGAGGCAUAUAUAGUGAAAAGUAGGAAGUAAGUAACAUCGAUAAGACAAAAAUGCUAGUAAACUUGAUACUACUACUACUAUGCCUCUAGAACAACAUGAAGUAAGCAAGGAAAUAUCUAACUGACUUUAUUAUACAUCAAGUUACAAUACGAUAUCGCUAUUCAAUAUUUUACCCAUUCACUAGAAAACUGGCCCAAAAGUCAGGUCCUAACUUGUGUCACGUCUCAUGGGCCAUGUGAGCAUCCCACUACGAAGCCAUGCCUCGCACCCACCACCCAAUCUGUACCAUAGUAAAAUUUUAUAGUUGAGUAGAUAGUGAAUGGGCUAUGUGGUGUUAUUUGGAAGGAUUUUGAAAAAUAAAAGAUGAGUUAGUACCUACGGAAGAGGUUUGGUGUAAGGUACCGGACUUCUAAAACUAUGAAGUUACGGUGUACAUUUAAAUGGUUCCGGUGAGAUUGCGGUGGAAUGUAACAUACCGAAUUUUAAAUAUAAAAGUAAAAAUAAAUAAAAAUAGUAUAAGAUACUAUUUUUAUUGGAUUUAGAGAAGUGAAAUAUAGGUUGGGAAUGACCUGUGCUGAAAUCGGAGCGAAAGCAGAAGAUUUAGAAUUUUCUGUGAGAAACGGGGCAGAUAAAUUAGCAGAAAAUACAUAGUGUCAGAAAAUUAUGAAAACUGGUGGAUAUGUCAGAAUCAUUUUUAUGAUGCUAGAUUUAAAGUUUCAUGCCAUUCUGACACCCGAAAAAUAGAAAAUAAAAUCGAACUGCUAUCAGCUAAAGAUUAUAGUUCGGCACAGCUUUCGGUGACCAAAUGGGGUCGAAACUGAAAACUUAAGAUAUAUUCUUACUCAGUAUGUUAAACCGAGCCUGCCUGUCAAAUUUGAGCGCAAACGGACGUUCAGAAGGGCUUCGACUGUUCCGAACUGCUAAACUGCAAGUUGUAAUAGGUGUGAGAGGGGGUUUUGUGCAAUUGUUACAGCCCCUACUAGUGGCCUGGCAGCAUGCGCACACACACACACCCGCACACGUCUUCUCCCUCUCCUUCACACUUGCAACCGAAGGAAGAAAACCCUCACUUUCUCUCUCUUAAAGGUGGGAAAAAGGAGAAGGAUUGGUAGAGAAGAAAGCUUGGAGGAAAAGUUCAUCUUCUUCAUCUUCCUCAAUGGACCAUUAGAGCAAGCUUUGAGGUAAGCUUCUUGGAGCAUCCAUGGUAGAACUCUAGAAUAUGGAUUUUGAUCUCUAUAAAUGGUAUUUUUGGAAUUUUAGGAUGCUAAAUAGAUGAUUGUUGCUUAAAUCAUGGAUCAAUUUAGUUAUUUCUUGCAAUAGUUGUAAGCUAGGGCUCCAAUGGCAUUUUUGCUAGUAGAAGGGUUUGAUCUAAAUUAACCCUCCGUAAACUUAAUUGCUAGGUAAACGAACGCAUUGGCGAAGUCGGUUCGGCGAUUCGUCGAGCCGUUGUGAAGUUAUUAAAGAACAAACGUUAGGCUUCGUUUCCGCCUGGAGGGCCGAGGCGACGUUCAAAAAUCAUGAAAACGGAUUUGGAGCACUGUAGCAACAAAACGAAGACCCUUUUUGCCCGAGGCUGCGAAGCGAUGCGCGGUUGGUGAGCAAUUUUGAGUUCGGGCCGAACCGGGCACCAGGUGCCGCGGGAGGCCGAUUGCAAGUGUCGACAAACAAUCGGAAC
rnacentral:lncRNA from 1 species